ACAACUCGUAACGGUGGAUGUCUCGGUUCCUACAUCGAUGAAGAACGUAGCAAACUGCGAAACGUAAUGCGAAUUGCAGAUCUCGUGAAUCAUCAAAUCUUUGAACGCAAGUUGCGCUCGCGGGUAACCCUGUGAGCAUGUCUGCUUGAGUGUCCGCAC
rnacentral:rRNA from 1 species